rnacentral:rRNA from 1 species
AACCUACCUCUAACUCGGGGAUAACAUUGCGAAAGUGAUGCUAAUACCGGAUAAUAUCUAAUUUGCUUCGGCAGUUUAGGUCAAGGGUGGCCUCUAUAUAUAAGCUACUGAUUGGAGAUGAGCCCGCGUACCAUUAGCUUGUUGGUAGGGUAAUGGCCUACCAAGGCCACGAUGGUUAGCUGGUCUGAGAGGAUGAUCAGCCACACUGGAACUGAGACACGGCCCAG